rnacentral:lncRNA from 1 species
CAGAGAGAAAAGAUGAGGCGGCACCAGGGUAGUGAGUGAUGUGAAUUCCUGUCAGAGCAGAAAUUGUGCUAGGGGAGGUCUCUAGACAGAAAAAAAAAAAAAAAUCUUUGGGUUGGGGAUGGGUGAAGAGUACAAAGAAAAAGAAAAGAAGGGAUGAGUUUUAAAAAAUGCAGGAAGAAGGCAGUAAGCAAUUAGAGAAGACUCAGUGUGUGCACAGUUGUCAGUCCCUGCUGGAAAUGCCCGCCAGUGGCCAGAAGUGGGUCAUGAGUGUAAUGAGCCAGUCAGCCUGACAUCUGCACUCUUUAGUCCAGCCUCAGGUUUCCACCUGGAUCUAGCAACUUGCGAGCUUCAGAGCAGAGAGUAAUGGGAAGACAGCCUGGAUUCUGAAAAGCCCAGAUUCUGCAAUUGAAGAGAAUCAUACAUACCUGACUGGCAUGGGGCUAGAGAUUUUUCCACCAAAACCCACUGUGAUCAUGUUUAUUUCAUUUCAUCCAGUAGACUGGACUCUCUUCAUAUGCACUUUUUUCAUCUCCAGCUUCAGGCAGAUUAACUCAGCAAACUUGGAAGCCAGAUGAU